rnacentral:miRNA from 1 species
GCCAAAAAGUUCGUUCGGGUUUUUCCAUAAGAUGUUAUGGGAAAACCUGAAGGAACUUUUUGGC